UCGUUCUCAAAUCAGGCGAGACUACCCGCUGAACUUAAGCAUAUCACUAAGCGGAGGAAAAGAAACUAACCAGGAUUCCCCUAGUAACGGCGAGUGAACCGGGAAGAGCUCAAGCCUAAAAUCUUCGGAAUUGUAGUCUAUAGGUGCGAUCUUGUACACCCCCGGGUAGAAAUCCGUUCUUGGAACUGGGUGCCAGAGAGGGUUAGAGCCCCGUCUUUGACUCGGUCGGGUGUGCGGGAUGAGGUCGCUCCUGAGAGUCGGCUUGCUUGGGAAUGCAGGCCAAAUCGGGUGGUAAACUCCAUCUAAAGCUAAAUAUUGGCGAGAGACCGAUAGCGAACAAGUACUGUGAAGGAAAGAUGGAAAGAACUUUGAAAAGAGAGUGAAAAAGGGCUUGAAAUUGUUGAGAGGAGAAGUGAUUGGAGCCUAUCCUGCGCGGCGGGAUCCUAGGGCUGGAGCUUGCUCCAGCCUGCACCAUGCCGUCGCGCUGGCCAGCAUCGGUUUUCUGUGGGGGACAAGGCUCGGAGGGCGGAAGGGAAACUGGAUGGCUCCGAGCGCAUGACCCGUGGGGGACCGAGGCACCAAGGGCGCGCCUAGCGGCCGGCCCAUCGUGCGCCUUGCUUCAUUGUUGCACACUCCGGUGUUCGGCUCUGAGGUUGGGGUUGACACGGUGGAGCGCUGGACCUGCGCCCUGAAGAUGCUGGCACAAUGGCUUCAACCAGCCCGUCUUGAAACACGGACCAAGGAGUCUAACACGUAUGCAAGUAGUAAGGUGGCAAACCUUGGAUGCGAAAUGAAAGUGAACGUAGGUGGGAUCCCUUACGGGUGCACCAUCGACCGACCAGGAUCUACUGUGAAAGGUUUGAGUAAGAGCAUAUUUGUUGGGACCCGAAAGAUGGUGAACUAUGCCUGAAUAGGGUGAAGCCAGAGGAAACUCUGGUGGAGGCUCGUAGCGGUACUGACGUGCAAAUCGUUCGUCAAAUUUGGGUAUAGGGGCGAAAGACUAAUCGAACCAUCUAGUAGCUG
rnacentral:rRNA from 1 species